CUCUGAUUUGAUUAUUUCCAAAAUUCAGCUGGUUAAGUUGAACUGUCAGAUUCGCUAUUGAGCUGGGCAAAACACCUCCAAAAUGGUUUGAACUGAAAUCUAAGCUUGUCAGAUCACUGCUGUUUUUCAAAGAUGCUAAAAAGGCCAAAUCACUUGUGGAAUUAUAUCCUAGAUUAUUCUCGCGAACAUUUAGCCACCAAAGACUUCUUAAAUUUCCCAAACAAUUUGGGACUUGUCCUACAAAAAUGUUAUUGGAAAGAUCAAGUCUUUCCAAUUGAGAUGCAUUGCAAAAGGAAUUUGGAAUUGACCCAGAAAACAAAUUGUAUCCAAUACCAAUCUGUCGGAGAUUUGGAAGAGUAAUCCCUAUGUUGUUUGGUAGGCUACCACUAAACUUGUUUUUUGUAAUUCCAAUUGUUCUAAGAGAUGAGAUAUUGGAAAGGGAUAAAGGGAAUAUACCAAAUAGAUUAUUUUCUGCAACACUGAAAAAAUCUAGGCUUUUUAAUUGGCCUAUUUCAUCUGGAAUAUUUCCCUCCAACUGCAAUUGUGCUGCAGCAAGGAUGAUAAGCGAUGAAAGGUUGCCAAGGGAAGGUGUGAUUUUUCCAUUCAGAUUGUUUGCUCUGAAUCGAAGGUCUUCAAGCAUAGGUAAAGAGCCAAGCUCUGCAGGGAUUUUCCCAGUUA
rnacentral:misc_RNA from 1 species